CUUUACAGGGUAAGAAGACUCCGGUAGAAGGGGCAACCACUCUCUUACAACCUGCGCACUACGUAAUGCGCAGUUUGUUAUCCCUUCACACCUCAGCUUGCUGCAUCGCUAAUUCACCAACAAUAAAAACAUAAGUCAUAACCAAACAUUAACAAAUACAAUUGACGUUUUACGAGAUUGUUGACAUUAAAAUAAAAAAAAAAAAAAAACAAAUAUUUUAAGCUGCCCAAAAGUGAAUAAAUUAUUAAUAUUAUUUCGACUUUUAUUAUUAACUUAUCGAACUGCCAAUUAAAAAGAAGUAAUUUCAUAAUUAUGAAUAAAAUAAAGAAAAAAAUGGGUCAUAGCAAGUUAUUUCAAGAGCUUUGUAAUGACAGAGAUGCUGUUCCAUUACCCAAUGCAACGUGGGCCAGGAUUGUAACAAGUGGCAAUACUUUGGUAUUUUCUAAGGGUUUGGAUGGCAUCAAAUGUUUUAGUGUUGCUAUUUUACCUAACAUGGAAGUCAUAAUAUCACAUGGUCAAGAAGAGUUAGAUUGGCUGCAUUGUCAACCUCCAAAAUCAGCAAAUGAUAUUUUACGAAUUAUCAAAACGUUUGAUAAUAUAUUAAAAUGACAUUCACCAUUAUAAUAUUAAACCCAUCAUUAAUGCUUUCGUCGUGUCUCGAGUUUUCUUGAGGCAAUUGGAAGUAGAAAUUCAUCAACUCAAAAAGUUAAAAUGAAUUCAAUACCAAAAGAUAUUCAUAGAAGACAAAAUUUGUUUUAAUAUAUGAGUAAAAAAUGCUGGUUUAGAUGAUAAUAAAACAAAUAAAUAUUCAUAUAGUGAGUAUCGUUGUUCUGCUUAAAUGUGGGAAAAACCAAGAGUUGAUGGAAAAAAAAAGUAUAAUUUUCACCAGCUCCAAUGAUAUUUGUUGAUCUUGUAACACAAAUUAAAUAUGGAGCAGUUCAUGAAGAUCGUUGUGAGAUACCAACAGCACCUAUCGAUGCAAAUAAAAAUAAUUAGUAUAGAUCCAACAAAAAAACAAAUUGCAAUAAUGAAAAUUGAUAAUAAUAAAUUACUCAAUGAUUCAAAACAAAAUGUCAAAUUUCAUAAAAUUAGUCAAUUAUCAAUGAAUUAUGAAAAACAAUUAAAAUAUGUUAAAAGUUUAGAAAAAAAAUUGGAUAAAUCAGAAAGAUCAAGAAUUGCUAUGGAAAAAAAUCACGUACGUUUACAAAGGCAAUAUUGUUAUCAAAUAAAACAGCUAAAAGAUAAAUUAAAUAAUUAUAAAAAUAUUAAUUUACAAGAUGAUCAAGGUAAAUUAUUAAAUUGACAUGAAAAAUUUGUGGUUUAUCAGGUUAUUGUGAACUUCUUGAACAGUAUUAUCUAUUACCAGCAUUGAGAACAUCUUGAAUUUAACAAUCUUGAAUUUAAAAAUGUUAGUUCAGUACUAGAAAAAACAUAAGUAUAUAUUUUUUAAAAUUACAUAAACAAAUUAAAUUCCUGGUGAAUUAUAAUCAAUUUUAUUUUUUUAAAACAAAUUACUAAUUUUUUCACAGUGACCUGUUAUGAUUAUCAUAAAAAAAAAUAUAUAAUUUUUAUUUUAAUGAUCAAGUUAAAUAUUUUAAAUGAUAAUAAAUAAAUGUUAAUGAUUAUUAAGUUAUUUUUA